AUGCUGGUGCUAGUGGUGGAGAUGAUGUUGGUGGUGGAGGUGCUGGUGAUGGUGGAGGGGAUGGUAGUAGAGGAUGUUGAAACUGCCAAAACUUGCUUAAUACCAUAUCUCCCUUCUCAAUAUUUAAAAUCCACAGGAUACUCGGAUCUCAGUGAAUAUUUGAUGGUUGGAGAAUAACUGAAGCAGUCAGUUCAAAGGUUCUCCCUACAUACUUUGAUUUUAAGACAAAAUAAUCUAUAAACUCGGGACAAUGUUGCUUUCUCUAGAAAAACCUGACUAACAUUGAUCUUUGUCAGGGUACACUUGGUUCUUUACUUAACUCUUAUCAGUGGCCAGAAAAGGUAACAUACUUGAAUUUAUCCAGUGUCAAACUAUAUAAUCUAACACUCAAUGUUUCCCAGACACUAGGCAUAUUAGAUGUUAGCAAUAUAGUCUUUUAUUUUGUCACAUCUUAAAGAACUUUACAUUUUCAGGUACAUGUCGAAGAUGCUCCCAGGUACUUCCUUCUUCUUGGAAAGUAAGCAAGAAAAUAAAACUUUCUCUAAGGAGCAAUUUGAUUCUUUUCAAAAACUGAAGACUUUGGAAGCUGGUGGCAACAGCUUCGUUUGCUCCUGUGACUUCCUGUCUUUCACACAGGGGCAGCAGGACCUGGCCCAGGUCCUGAUCGACUGGCCAGAAGAAUACCUGUGUGACUCUCCAUCCCCCGUGCGGGGCCAGCGGGUUCGGGACACCCGGCUCUCGCCUUCUGAAUGCCACAGGGCAGCCGUGGUGUCUGCCGUGUGCUGUGCCCUUUUCCUGUCGCUCCUGCUCGUGGGAGUUCUGUGCCACCGUUUCCACGGACUGUGGUACAUGAAGAUGAUGUGGGCCUGGCUCCAGGCCAAGAGGAAGCCCAGGAAGGCUCCCCGCAGGGACAUCUGCUAUGACGCCUUUGUGUCCUACAGUGAACAGGAUUCCUACUGGGUGGAGAACCUCAUGGUCCAGGAGCUGGAGCACUUCAGACCUCCCUUUAAGUUGUGUCUUCACAAGCGGGACUUCAUUCCUGGCAAGUGGAUUAUCGACAAUAUCAUUGACUCCAUUGAAAAGAGCCACAAAACCAUCUUUGUGCUUUCUGAGAACUUUGUGAAGAGUGAGUGGUGCAAGUACGAGCUGGACUUCUCCCAUUUUCGUCUCUUUGAUGAGAACGACGAUGCUGCCAUUCUCAUUCUGCUGGAGCCCAUUGAGAAAAAGGCCAUCCCCAGCAGGAAGGCGCCCGCCUCCGACCCGAGCCGGGCACCAGGCGGCGGUGGGGUAGCACCUGGGUCACGGUCACCCGACGGAGCCCGCGGAAAGGGAAGCGGCGGCUGGCCCCAGGCCACAGGUGCCAGGCGCGCUCCGCGGAACGGGUGGUCACCGCACCCUGGAGAAGGGGGCGCCGGCCACACGCAGCGUCCCCGCGCACUCUUCCGGGGCGCGGGCAGGUCCGGGCCGGAGGCGGCAGAAGGCGCGGCCUGGCGGCAGCUGCGCAGUCUCCUGAUACAUCGGGCCCAAAAAUACGCUCGGCAGGCUUCCUUGCUCCGCAGCCCUUCCCGGACCGGGCGGGCAGGGUCCCAGGGUGGCCGAGGCGCGGACGCGGGCGCCGGGCAUCCGCGCCUCCCAGUCGGCGGCACCCGGGACCCCAGUCGUGCGGCACGGGCCCGGGGAAGGGGGGAGCCCCCUGCCCCGAGGCCGUCGACGCUCCUGCAGCCCCGUCUGCUAGGCCCCGCACGGGAAUGUGGACACCCGCCCCGCCGAGGUGAGAGAAGCGGGGACCUCACGGAAAGGGACGAGGGUGCGGCUGAGGUUCGCCCAGCCCUUGGCGUCCCGGUGCCCGCGGGCCGUGGCGGGGCCAUCCAGCUUCCGAUGGGGCGCCGUGGGGAGCUUCCGCGGGCUCCGCGCUGCGGGCGGCCGCGUUCCGGGAGGCGGGGUGGCCGGUGGCUCCGGUUCCCGAAGGGCAGCCCUCUCGCCGGCGGCUCAGGGAGCCCCGGUCGCCCCUGCCCCCGUCACUCGGAGCGGCGGUGA